UGAGACAUGAAGAUGAAUAGAGCAGGGCCUAAGAGUAGUGGGCAUGGGAACAUGAUGGAUGGCUAAAUCUCUCUUAGUUCCUCGUGCAACGCUGAAAGAGACUUUGGUUGAGUUUUCCUAAUGCCUCCCAUGCCUAUUGUUCUUUGGUGCUCCUUCCUCUUCCUUGUCGCA
rnacentral:pre_miRNA from 1 species